rnacentral:rRNA from 1 species
CGGAGGAUGCAAGCGUUAUCCGGAUUCAUUGGGUUUAAAGGGUGCGUAGGCGGAUUUAUAAGUCAGCGGUGAAAUCUUUCGGCUUAACCGAAAAUGUGCCGUUGAUACUGUAGAUCUAGAGUGUAAAUGGAGUAGGCGGAAUAUGUCAUGUAGCGGUGAAAUGCAUAGAUAUGACAUAGAACACCAAUCGCGAAGGCAGCUUACUAAAAUACAACUGACGCUGAUGCACGAAAGCGUGGGGAUCAAACAGGAUUAGAUACCCUGGUAGUCCACGCUGUAAACGAUGAUAACUCGUUGUCGGCGAUACACUGUCGGUGACUGAGCGAAAGCGAUAAGUUAUCCACCUGGGGAGUACGAUCGCAAGGUUGAAACUCAAAGGAAUUGACGGGGGCCCGCACAAGCGGAGGAGCAUGUGGUUUAAUUCGAUGAUACGCGAGGAACCUUACCUAGAUUUGAACGGAGCAGGAAUAUAUCAGAGAUGGUAUAGCUAGCAAUAGCCUGUUUCGAGGUGCUGCAUGGUUGUCGUCAGCUCGUGCCGUGAGGUGUCAGGUUAAGUCCUAUAACGAGCGCAACCCCUACGUUUAGUUGCCAGCAUGUCAAGAUGGGGACUCUAAACGGACUGCCGGCGCAAGCCGUGAGGAAGGUGGGGAUGACGUCAAAUCAGCACGGCCCUUACGUCUAGGGCGACACACGUGCUACAAUGGUCGGUACAGAGGGCAGCUACCCCGCGAGGGGAUGCAAAUCUCUAAAGCCGAUCUCAGUUCGGAUCGGAGUCUGCAACUCGACUCCGUGAAGUUGGAUUCGCUAGUAAUCGCGCAUCAGCCAUGGCGCGGUGAAUACGUUCCCGGGCCUUGUACACACCGCCCGUCAAGCCAUGGAAGUCUGGAGUACCUGAAGUAUGUCACCGCAAGGAGCGUCCUAGGGUAAGACAGGUAACUAGGGCUAAGUCGUAACAAGGUA